GGGAUUGCCCCAGUAACGGCGAGUGAAGCGGCAACAGCUCAAAUUUGAAAUCUGGCCCCCCCCGGGGGGCCCGAGUUGUAAUUUGCAGAGGAUGCUUUGGGCGAGGCGCCUUCCGAGUUCCCUGGAACGGGACGCCACAGAGGGUGAGAGCCCCGUCUGGUCGGACGCCGAGCCUCUGUAAAGCUCCUUCGACGAGUCGAGUAGUUUGGGAAUGCUGCUCAAAAUGGGAGGUAUAUGUCUUCUAAAGCUAAAUACCGGCCAGAGACCGAUAGCGCACAAGUAGAGUGAUCGAAAGAUGAAAAGCACCUUGAAAAGGGGGUUAAACAGUACGUGAAAUUGUUGAAAGGGAAGCGCUCGUGACCAGACUUGGGGCGGGCGGAUCAGCCGGCGUUCUCGCCGGNGCACUCCGCCCGUCCCAGGCCAGCAUCAGUUCGCGCCGGGGGACAAAGGCGGCGGGAACGUGGCUCCCCAGGGAGUGUUAUAGCCCGCCGCGCCAUGCCCCGGGGGCGGACUGAGGGCCGCGCAUCACUGCAAGGAUGCUGGCGUAAUGGUCACCAGCGACCCGUCUUGAAACACGGGCCAAGGAGUCGUCCUCGUAUGCGAGUGUUCGGGUGUCAAACCCCU
rnacentral:rRNA from 1 species